GAAGUAGCAAUACUUAGUGGCAGACGGGUGAGUAACAUGUAGGUAUCUGCCCUUUGGCCUGGAAUAACACGAGGAAACUUGUGCUAAUACCGGAUAAGUCUUUACGGAGAAAGCUUUAUGCACCAUUGGAUGAGCCUGCACUUGAUUAGUUUGUUGGUGGGGUAAUGGCCUACCAAGACUGUGAUCAGUAGCUGAUUUGAGAGGAUGAUCAGCCACAUUGGGACUGAGACACGGCCCAAACUCCUACGGGAGGCAGCAGUGGGGAAUCUUGCACAAUGGAGGAAACUCUGAUGCAGCGAUGCCGCGUGAGUGAAGAAGGCCCUUGGGUUGUAAAGCUCUUUCGUCGGGGAAGAAAAUGACUGUACCCGAAUAAGAAGGUCCGGCUAACUUCGUGCCAGCAGCCGCGGUAAUACGAAGGGACCUAGCGUAGUUCGGAAUUACUGGGCUUAAAGAGUUCGUAGGUGGUUGAAAUAGUUGGUGGUGAAAUCCCAGAGCUUAACUCUGGAACUGCCAUCAAAACUUUUCAGCUAGAGUAUGAUAGAGGAAAGCAGAAUUUCUAGUGUAGAGGUGAAAUUCGUAGAUAUUAGAAAGAAUACCAAUUGCGAAGGCAGCUUUCUGGAUCAUUACUGACACUGAGGAACGAAAGCAUGGGUAGCGAAGAGGAUUAGAUACCCUCGUAGUCCAUGCCGUAAACGAUGUGUGUUAGACGUUGGAAAUUUAUUUUCAGUGUCGCAGGGAAACCAAUAAACACACCGCCUGGGGAGUACGACCGCAAGGUUAAAACUCAAAUGAAUUGACGGGGACCCGCACAAGUAGUGGAGCAUGUGGUUUAAUUCGAAGAUAC
rnacentral:rRNA from 1 species